rnacentral:rRNA from 1 species
ACGAACGCUGGCGGCGUGCUUAACACAUGCCAGUCGAACGGAAAGGCCCUGCUUGCAGGGUCCUCGAGUGGCGAACGGGUGAGUAACACGUGGGUGAUCUGCCCUGCACUUCGGGAUAAGCCUGGGAAACUGGGUCUAAUACCGGAUAGGAGCCAUUUUUAGUGUGAUGGUUGGAAAGUUUUUUCGGUGUAGGAUGAGCUCGCGGCCUAUCAGCUUGUUGGUGUGGUAAUGGCCUACCAAGGCGGCGACGGGUAGCCGGCCUGAGAGGGUGGACGGCCACAUUGGGACUGAGAUACGGCCCAGACUCCUACGGGAGGCAGCAGUGGGGAAUAUUGCACAAUGGGCGCAAGCCUGAUGCAGCGACGCCGCGGGGGGGAGGACGGCCUUCGGGUUGUAAACGCCUUUCGCUAGGGACGAAGCUUUUUGUGACGGUACCUAGAGAAGAAGCACCGGCUAACUACGUG